rnacentral:rRNA from 1 species
UACGAAGGGAGCUAGCGUUGUUCGGAAUCACUGGGCGUAAAGCGCACGUAGGCGGAUGUGUCAGUCAGGGGUGAAAUCCCGGAGCUCAACUUCGGAACUGCCUUCGAUACAGCACAUCUGGAGUCCGGAAGAGGUGGGUGGAAUUCCUAGUGUAGAGGUGAAAUUCGUAGAUAUUAGGAAGAACACCGGUGGCGAAGGCGGCCCACUGGUCCGGUACUGACGCUGAGGUGCGAAAGCGUGGGGAGCAAACAGG